rnacentral:rRNA from 1 species
UACGAAGGGUGCAAGCGUUACUCGGAAUUACUGGGCGUAAAGUGUGCGUAGGUGGUGAGUUAAGUCUGAUGUGAAAUCCCCGGGCUCAACCUGGGAAUGGCAUUGGAUACUGGCUCGCUAGAGUGCGGUAGAGGGUGGUGGAAUUCCCGGUGUAGCAGUGAAAUGCGUAGAGAUCGGGAGGAACAUCUGUGGCGAAGGCGGCCACCUGGACCAACACUGACACUGAGGCACGAAAGCGUGGGGAGCAAACAGG